GCUUGGCUAGCUCAUUUGGUAGUGCUUGAGACCCUUAAUCUCAGGGUCAGGGGUUCAAGCCCCAUGCUGUGCA
rnacentral:tRNA from 1 species